AUUGAACGCUGGCGGCAGGCCUAACACAUGCAAGUCGAGCGGAUGAAGGGAGCUUGCUCCUGGAUUCAGCGGCGGACGGGUGAGUAAUGCCUAGGAAUCUGCCUGGUAGUGGGGGAUAACGUCCGGAAACGGGCGCUAAUACCGCAUACGUCCUGAGGGAGAAAGUGGGGGAUCUUCGGACCUCACGCUAUCAGAUGAGCCUAGGUCGGAUUAGCUAGUUGGUGGGGUAAAGGCCUACCAAGGCGACGAUCCGUAACUGGUCUGAGAGGAUGAUCAGUCACACUGGAACUGAGACACGGUCCAGACUCCUACGGGAGGCGGCAGUGGGGAAUAUUGGACAAUGGGCGAAAGCCUGAUCCAGCCAUGCCGCGUGUGUGAAGAAGGUCUUCGGAUUGUAAAGCACUUUAAGUUGGGAGGAAGGGCAGUAAGUUAAUACCUUGCUGUUUUGACGUUACCAACAGAGUAAGCACCGGCUAACUUCGUG
rnacentral:rRNA from 1 species